rnacentral:rRNA from 1 species
CUACGGGGGCUCCAGUGAGGAAUAUUGCACAAUGGAGGAAACUCUGAUGCAGCAACGCCGCGUGGAGGAUGACGCAUUUCGGUGUGUAAACUCCUUUUAUAUGUCAAGAAAAUGACGGUAGCAUAUGAAUAAGCUCCGGCUAACUCCGUGCCAGCAGCCGCGGUAAUACGGAGGGAGCAAGCGUUACUCGGAAUCACUGGGCGUAAAGGACGCGUAGGCGGGAUAGAAAGUCAGGUGUGAAAUCCUAUGGCUCAACCAUAGAACUGCACUUGAAACUUCUAACCUAGAGUAUGGGAGGGGAAGAUGGAAUUAGUGGUGUAGGGGUAAAAUCCGUAGAUAUCACUAGGAAUACCAAAAGCGAAGGCGAUCUUCUGGAACAAUACUGACGCUAAGGCGUGAAAGCGUGGGGAGCAAACAGGAUUAGAUACCCCAGUAGUC